rnacentral:rRNA from 1 species
ACGCACGCUGGCGGCGUGCUUCACCCCUGCCAGUCGAACGGAAAGGCCCUGCUUUUGUGGGGUGCUCGAGUGGCGAACGGGUGAGUAACACGUGAGUAACCUGCCCUUGACUUUGGGAUAACUUCAGGAAACUGGGGCUAAUACCGGAUAGGAGCUCCUGCUGCAUGGUGGGGGUUGGAAAGUUUCGGCGGUUGGGGAUGGACUCGCGGCUUAUCAGCUUGUUGGUGGGGCAGUGGCUUACCAAGGCUUUGACGGGUAGCCGGCCUGAGAGGGUGACCGGCCACAUUGGGACUGAGAUACGGCCCAGACUCCUACGGGAGGCAGCAGUGGGGAAUAUUGCACAAUGGGCGGAAGCCUGAUGCAGCAACGCCGCGUGCGGGAUGACGGCCUUCGGGUUGUAAACCGCUUUCGCCUGUGACGAAGCGUGAGUGACGGUAAUGGGUAAAGAAGCACCGGCUAACUACGUG